CUGUAUCUUGACUUAACUGUUGUGUUCUAUUGUUGUUACUCUGAGAGAAUUUCCCUCCAAAGUGAGGCCUGUGUGAACAACUCGAAGAAUCUCAGGCCGGAUCCCUUCCUGCUGCAGAAAAAUGGUAUCCUCAUAUCUCCAACCUUCUUCAAACCAAGGCCUUGUAUUUCCUGAAGUCAUAAACCUGAAUCUGGGCUGCACCACUUCAGAUUACAGCUCUCAGAUCUCAUGAUUAUUUCAAGCUCUUCAGUCAGGGAAGUCAAUUCUGUGAAUGUUAAGAAGAGCAGAACAAAAUUAGUACUGUAGCAAUUGGCCUUCCCUUACCCUAAAGAGUGAACCUGAAGUGAACCCUGUCCCAACUGACAGGCAGUGACCUCUGGGGAUCAGCCACUCAGCACACGGUGUCUGGGACCUGGAGGGCCUGGCGGCAGGAAGUGGAGGACAUCUUUGUGCUCAGAAGGAGCUAGAAGGAAGAUGAGAGAGGACAGGCAGAAGGCUGAGUGAGCCGCAGCAAUGUAGCUUUUGCUGCCUCAUGAUCAAAAGCUUGCCUGAAGAGCUCUCAUGGAAGAACAUCUGCAGGUCCUUGAGAGACAGAAUUGCAGGAAGCCUGAAAUCUCUCCUGGAGUUUGGGGUUUCCCAGUACACAAGUCAAGCUCCCCCAGUGCUAUCCUUCAUCUCCAGAAAAUGAGGGAUACUUCCUAGGUACAAAAUAAGAGGGUAAAAUGCCAAAUGGAAGUUGUUUGUAUGCAGCAAAGAGCAGCAGUCUUCAACCAUAAUAAAGAGCUAUCAAUUAAUUUUGUUGUAACUGUAUGCACCUGUGAACAACUGUUUAAUUAAAGAAGCAAACA